rnacentral:rRNA from 1 species
CCUACGGGUGGCCGCAGUGAGGAAUAUUGGUCAAUGGGCGCGAGCCUGAACCAGCCAAGUCGCGUGAGGGAAGACGGUCCUAUGGAUUGUAAACCUCUUUUGUCGGGGAGCAAAAGACGCCACGCGUGGCGUUCCGAGAGUACCCGAAGAAAAAGCAUCGGCUAACUCCGUGCCAGCCGCCGCGGUAAUACGGAGGAUGCGAGCGUUCUCCGGAUUUAUUGGGUUUAAAGGGUGCGCAGGCGGAAGAUCAAGUCAGCGGUAAAAUUGAGGGGCUCAACCUCUUCGAGCCGUUGAAACUGGUGUUCUUGAGUGAGCGAGAAGUAUGCGGAAUGCGUGGUGUAGCGGUGAAAUGCAUAGAUAUCACGCAGAACUCCGAUUGCGAAGGCAGCAUACCGGCGCUCAACUGACGCUGAUGCACGAAAGUGUGGGUAUCGAACAGGAUUAGAUACCCCAGUAGUC